rnacentral:ncRNA from 1 species
CAACCUGAGCUCAGUCGUGAUUACCCGCCGAACUUAAGCAUAUCAUUCAGCGGAGGAAAAGAAACUAACUAGGAUUCCCCAAGUAAUGGCGAAUGAAAGGGGAAGAGCCCAGCGCUGAAUCUCUCGGUCUUAGGCCGCUGAGAACUGUAGCGUAUAGGUGUGACUGUCCUGCUAUAUUGCAUUUCCGAAGUCUCUUUGAUAGGGGCCAACAUCCAGAGAGGGUGCGAGACCUGUACGGAAAGUAGUAUAGUUGGUAUGGUUACUCCUUGGAGUCGGGUUGCUUGAAAGUGCAGCCUAAAGUUGGUGAUAAACUUCAUCUAAGGCUAAAUAUCGACGCGAAAUCGAUAGCAAACAAGUACCGUGAGGGAAAGUUGCAA